AGAAAAUGCAGAUAUUCUGAUGAUGACUGAUGAUGUAAUUAUUGUCUUUUUUGAGUCACCAGAGCCAGAAAAUCUAAAAUCCCACAUAAAAUGGCUUGAAAGAAAAGGCCGGGGGCUCAUCAGGUUUUGCUCUUAAGCUGCUUUAAAAAGCAAAGCCUACGUAAAACAGAGAAAUGACUGCUUUUGGUAACUGGCAUCACUAACGCAGUUGCAUAGCUGUAAUCAGCUUUCCUGUUGCUCUGCUUCUCACAUAAAGAAGAUUGGUUUUUAAUUUUCAACCUAAGCUUUUUUACAAUACAUCAAUAGAUUAAAAUAACAAUGUGCUCACUACCAUUACUUAAGCGAUACCUACAGGCCUAUGCAGGAAUUAGCAGUCCAGCCGUAAUGCUUCAAUAAUAUGUUUAGACUGUCACAGUGCAACCUAAAUGCACACCACUGUAUUGCCAACAAUGAGAGGCAAAGUUAUCCUGCCAACACAACUGAGAAAUCAGAAAAAUAGCAAGUGAGAAUCCACAAAUGAAGGUCUUGUGGUUAGUUUAGGGGUCAUAUUUCCAGGACUCAUAGCUGUUCCCAGCACUGCACACAAUGUCUUGAGUUUGAAAUAUAACCUAUACGUUUAGUAUAUUACUUUACACAGGAAUAAUUAAAUAUCAUUAGGAUGAGGAAUAGGGCCAGAAUUCAUGUUUUUUAGGAGGUGAUUUGGCUGUAGAUGCUAAUUUUCAGCAAACAGAUCUUCAAAGCUGCAGCACUGUUAUAGUGCUCCGGCUGUUAUUAUAGAGCUAUGAUUUUAAUAUGCAAUUAUCAUAAUGUCUCUUAUCCCUCUAUGCCACAGAAUCUAAUUAGGCCUUAUCUGUAUCAGCUCCACUCCGACAACUCAUCAGAGCUGAAGGUGUUUAAGAAUAUUAGGUUGGAAAACCAGGUCAUUCAAGACAAAAAUGUUGGCUCGCGUUUCGUUUUGGUAAAUGUUCUUUGCAGGAGAAUCUGCCUGUGGCUCGACGAGGACGUGAGGACAAGGGCACGAACCUUCAUCCACAUUACAAGGAACGGCUCUCGGAAAUUGGCCUGAAUGCAAGGCACAUCUGAAAGGCAAAUGAAAGCAGCUGCUCUUCUCAUAUCCUAGGCAACCUAAGGGUACCCAAGGUUUGGAUUUUCACAAUAAAAGCUGGUUGAUUUCAUUCUUCUGAAGAAUCCCCGACAAUAAUUGCUGGCUGCCGCAUUUCCAAUAGAAUUUGACUUGGCUGUCCACCGCUUCUAUUCAGCUUUUGGGUAAAU
ensembl:lncRNA